AUUGAACGCUGGCGGCAGGCUUAACACAUGCAAGUCGAGCGAGUGGCGGACGGGUGAGUAAUGUCUGGGAAACUGCCUGAUGGAGGGGGAUAACUACUGGAAACGGUAGCUAAUACCGCAUACCAUCGGAUGUGCCCAGAUGGGAUUAGCUAGUGGGUGGGGUAAAGGCUCACCUAGGCGACGAUCCCUAGCUGGUCUGAGAGGAUGACCAGCCACACUGGGACUGAGACACGGUCCAGACUCCUACGGGAGGCAGCAGUGGGGAAUAUUGCGCAAUGGGCGCAAUCCUGAUACAGCCAUGCCGCGUGUAUGAAGAAGGCCUGCGGGUUGUAAAGUUCUUUCAGCGGGGAGGCGUUACCCGCAGAAGAAGCACCGGCUAACUCCGUGCCAGCAGCCGCGGUAAUAC
rnacentral:rRNA from 1 species